CCUACGGGGUGCAGCAGUGGGGAAUAUUGGACAAUGGGGGCAACCCUGAUCCAGCCAUGCCGCGUGUGUGAAGAAGGCCCUCGGGUUGUAAAGCACUUUCAGUGAGGAAGAACGCCUGGUGGUUAAUACCCAUCAGGAAAGACAUCACUCACAGAAGAAGCACCGGCUAACUCCGUGCCAGCAGCCGCGGUAAUACGGAGGGUGCGAGCGUUAAUCGGAAUUACUGGGCGUAAAGCGCGCGUAGGUGGCUUGAUAAGCCGGUUGUGAAAGCCCCGGGCUCAACCUGGGAACGGCAUCCGGAACUGUCAAGCUAGAGGGCAGGAGAGGAAGGUAGAAUUCCCGGUGUAGCGGUGAAAUGCGUAGAGAUCGGGAGGAAUACCAGUGGCGAAGGCGGCCUUCUGGACUGACACUGACACUGAGGUGCGAAAGCGUGGGUAGCAAACAGGAUUAGAUACCCGAGUAGUC
rnacentral:rRNA from 1 species